ACGAACGCUGGCGGCGUGCUUAACACAUGCAAGUCGAACGAGAAAGCCCGCAAGGGUGAGUAGAGUGGCGCACGGGUGAGUAAUGGAUAGGAACGUACCGAACAGAGGGGGAUAACUGCGGGAAACUGCAGCUAAUACCGCGUACGACGUAAGUUGAAAGGUGGCCUCUACUUGUAAGCUACCGCUGUUUGAUCGGCCUAUCUCCCAUUAGCUAGUUGGCGGGGUAAUAGCCCACCAAGGCUUCGAUGGGUAGCUGGUCUGAGAGGAUGAUCAGCCACACUGGAACUGAGACACGGUCCAGACUCCUACGGGAGGCAGCAGUGGGGAAUCUUGCACAAUGGGGGCAACCCUGAUGCAGCAACGCCGCGUGAGUGAAGAAGGCCCUUGGGUCGUAAAGCUCUUUCGGCCGGGAAGAAGGGUGUUUGGGUGAACAAUCCAGGCAUUUGACGGUACCGGAGUAAGAAGCACCGGCUAAUUCCGU
rnacentral:rRNA from 1 species